rnacentral:rRNA from 1 species
AGUGGCGGACGGGUGAGUAACGCGUGAGAAUCUGCCUUGGGGUCGGGGACAACCACUGGAAACGGUGGCUAAUACCGGAUAAGCCGAUUGGUGAAAGAUUUAUUGCCCGAAGAGGAGCUCGCGUCUGAUUAGCUAGUUGGUGAGGUAAGAGCUCACCAAGGCAGCGAUCAGUAGCUGGUCUGAGAGGACGAUCAGCCACACUGGGACUGAGACACGGCCCAGACUCCUACGGGAGGCAGCAGUGGGGAAUUUUCCGCAAUGGGCGAAAGCCUGACGGAGCAAGACCGCGUGAGGGAGGAAGGCUCUUGGGUUGUAAACCUCUUUUCUCAGGGAAGAAGCUCUGACGGUACCUGAGGAAUCAGCCUCGGCUAACUCCGUGCCAGCAGCCGCGGUAAUACGGAGGAGGCAAGCGUUAUCCGGAAUUAUUGGGCGUAAAGCGUCCGCAAGUGGCGAUUCAAGUCUGCUGUCAAAGCACGGGGCUUAACUCCGUAAAGGCAGUGGAAACUGAAUAGCUAGAGUGCCGUAGGGGUAGAGGGAAUUCCCGGUGUAGCGGUGAAAUGCGUAGAGAUCGGGAAGAACAUCGGUGGCGAAAGCGCUCUACUGGACGGCAACUGACACUCAGGGACGAAAGCUAGGGGAGCGAAUGGGAUUAGAUACCCC